rnacentral:rRNA from 1 species
GGGGAAUUUUGGACAAUGGGGGGAACCCUGAUCCAGCCAUCCCGCGUGUAUGAUGAAGGCCUUCGGGUUGUAAAGUACUUUUGACAGGGAAGAAACGACACCACCUAAUACGUGGUGUUAAUGACGGUACCUGUAGAAUAAGCACCGGCUAACUACGUGCCAGCAGCCGCGGUAAUACGUAGGGUGCAAGCGUUAAUCGGAAUUACUGGGCGUAAAGGGUACGCAGGCGGCUAGGAAAGAAGGAUGUGAAAUCCCAGGGCUCAACCUUGGAACUGCAUUCUAACUGCACGGCUAGAGUUUGUCAGAGGAGGGUGUAAUUCCGCGUGUAGCAGUGAAAUGCGUAGAUAUGUGGAGGAAUACCGAUGGCGAAGGCAGCCCCCUGGGAUAAUACUGACGCUCAGGUACGAAAGCGUGGGGAGCAAACA